GCCUAAAGCGUCCGUAGCCGGCUCUGUUAGUUUUCGGUUAAAUCCAUAUGCUCAACAUAUGGGCCGCCGGGAAUACUACAAAGCUAGGGAGUGGGAGAGGUAGACGGUACUCCGUAGGAAGGGGUAAAAUCCUUUGAUCUAUGGAUGACCACCAGUGGCGAGGGCGGUCUACCAGAACACGUUCGACGGUGAGGGAUGAAAGCUGGGGGAGCAAACCGGAUUAGAUACCCGGGUAGUCCCAGCUGUAAACUAUGCAAACUCAGUGAUGCAUUGGCUUGUGGCCAGUGCAGUGCCGCAGAGAAGUCGUUAAGUUUGCCGCCUGGGAAGUACGUACGCAAGUAUGAAACUUAAAGGAAUUGGCGGGGGAGCACCACAAGGGGUGAAGCCUGCGGUUCAAUUGGAGUCAACGCCAGAAAUCUUACCCGGAGAGACAGCAGAAUGAAGGUCAAGUUGAAGCCUUUACCAGACAAGCUGAGAAGUGGUGCAUGGCCGUCGCCAGCUCGUGCCGUGAGGUGUCCUGUUAAGUCAGGUAACGAGCGAGAUCCUUGCCUCUAGUUGCUACCAUUACUCUCAGGAGUAGUGGGGCGAAUUAGCGGGACUGCCGUAGUUAAUACGGAGGAAGGAGAGGGCCACGGCAGGUCAGUAUGCCCCGAA
rnacentral:rRNA from 1 species